CCCGCUGAACUUAAGCAUAUCAGUAAGCGGAGGAGAAGAAACUAACAAGGAUUCUCGUAGUAACGGCGAGUGAAGGGAGAAGAGUCCAAGGUUGGAAUCGACGAGAGUCGAGAUGUAGCCUGAGGGGCACGGGCGAGGUGUGGAGAGGUGGAAGAAGAGUUCUGGAAAGGACCAUCGGAGAGGGUGAGAAUCCCGUGGGGUCCACCGACCGCACAGGACCCGGGGCUCGGAGAGUCGAGCUGCUUGGGAAUGCAGCUCAAAGGGGUGGUAAGCACCAUCCAAGACUAAAUAGGGGCGAGAGACCGAUAGCGAACAAGUACCGUGAGGGAAAGAUGAAAAGGACUUUGGAAAGAGAGUUAAAAGGAUGUGAAAUUGUUGGGAGGGAAGCGGGGGGAGAGGAAGGAGUGGGGUGUGGGGAGUGGAUGUUGGGUGUGGACUGUGCGAGCUGGGUGUGGACUUGGUGCAAGCUGGGUGCGGACUUGUGCGAGCUGGGGCACGCUGAAUGUUCAGGACACACAACACAGGGUAGCGCCGGUGCAUGCCGGGGGAACAAGUGCGAUGGAAGAUGGCGCCACGACGGCUUGCUUUAUAGCCAGUGCAUGGGCCCUGGGAUGGACCGGGAGAAAGGAGGGAAGGAGGGGUGGAGAGAAGAUGAAGGUGUGUGGACAUCUACGUGUAGAUCCCGCAUGCACAGAGUCGGACUCGACCCGGACACUCUGGAUGCUACAAGGUCGCUCUCCCCGACCCGUCUUGAAACACGG
rnacentral:rRNA from 1 species